UCGGAGGCGCCUGAUUUCAUGACAUGAGU
rnacentral:piRNA from 1 species